rnacentral:rRNA from 1 species
UUGGAGGGCAAGUCUGGUGCCAGCAGCCGCGGUAAUUCCAGCUCCAAUAGCGUAUAUUAAAGUUGUUGCAGUUAAAAAGCUCGUAGUUGAAUUUCGGGAUCAAUAUGUUGGUCGUGCCAUUGGUACGCACUGGCAUUAUUGGUUUCUACCUUCUGAAGAACCUCGAUGUCAUUAAUUUGGUGUCUUGGGGAAUCAGGACUGUUACUUUGAAAAAAUUAGAGUGUUUAAAGCAAGCUCGCGCUUGAAUACAUUAGCAUGGAAUAA